UCGAGAAUUUUUCUCAAUGGGCGAAAGCCUGAAGGAGCGACGCCGCGUGGGGGAUGAAUGGCUUCGGCCCGUAAACCCCUGUCAUUUGCGAACAAACCUCGUGAUUUAACAGAUGACGAGCUGAUUGUAGCGAAAGAGGAAGGGACGGCUAACUCUGUGCCAGCAGCCGCGGUAAUACAGAGGUCCCAAGCGUUGUUCGGAUUCACUGGGCGUAAAGGGUGCGUAGGUGGUUGGGUAAGUCUGAUGUGAAAUCUCCGGGCCUAACCCGGAAACUGCAUCGGAUACUAUUCGACUGGAGGGUUGGAGGGGGGACUGGAAUACUUGGUGUAGCAGUGAAAUGCGUAGAUAUCAAGUGGAACUACCAGUGGCGAAGGCGAGUCCCUGGACAACUCCUGACACUGAGGCACGAAAGCUAGGGGAGCAAACAGGAUUAGAUACCCCGGUAGUCCCUGAGCGGGCUGGCAAGGCGCAU
rnacentral:rRNA from 1 species